rnacentral:misc_RNA from 1 species
GAUGAAGAACGCAGCGAAAUGCGAUAAGUGAUGUGAAUUGCAGAAUUCAGUGAAUCAUCGAAUCUUUGAACGCACAUUGCGCCCGCCAGUAUUCUGGCGGGCAUGCCUGUUCGAGCGUCAUUACAACCCUCAGGCCCCCGGGCCUGGCGUUGGGGAUCGGCGGAGCCCCCCGUGGGCACACGCCGUCCCCCAAAUGCAGUGGCGGUCCCGCCGCAGCUUCCAUCGCGUAGUAGCUAACACCUCGCGACUGGAGAGCGGCGCGGCCACGCCGUAAAACACCCAACUCUUCUGAAGUUGACCUCGAAUCAGGUAGGAAUACCCGCUGAACUUAAGCAUAUCAAUAAGCGGAGGA